CCUACGGGCGGCAGCAGUGGGGAAUAUUGCACAAUGGGCGCAAGCCUGAUGCAGCCAUGCCGCGUGUGUGAAGAAGGCCUUCGGGUUGUAAAGCACUUUCAGCGGGGAGGAAGGCGGUGAGGUUAAUAACCUCAUCGAUUGACGUUACCCGCAGAAGAAGCACCGGCUAACUCCGUGCCAGCAGCCGCGGUAAUACGGAGGGUGCAAGCGUUAAUCGGAAUUACUGGGCGUAAAGCGCACGCAGGCGGUCUGUCAAGUCGGAUGUGAAAUCCCCGGGCUCAACCUGGGAACUGCAUUCGAAACUGGCAGGCUAGAGUCUUGUAGAGGGGGGUAGAAUUCCAGGUGUAGCGGUGAAAUGCGUAGAGAUCUGGAGGAAUACCGGUGGCGAAGGCGGCCCCCUGGACAAAGACUGACGCUCAGGUGCGAAAGCGUGGGGAGCAAACAGGAUUAGAUGCCCUAGUAGUC
rnacentral:rRNA from 1 species